rnacentral:rRNA from 1 species
GGGGGGCUGCUCCUAGUACGAGAGGACCGGAGUGGACGCAUCACUGGUGUUCGGGUUGUCAUGCCAAUGGCACUGCCCGGUAGCUAAAUGCGGAAGAGAUAAGUGCUGAAAGCAUCUAAGCACGAAACUUGCCCCGAGAUGAGUUCUCCCUGACUCCCUGAGAGUCCUGAAGGAACGUUGAAGACGACGACGUUGAUAGGCCGGGUGUGUAAGCGCAGCGAUGCGUUGAGCUAACCGGUACUAAUGAACCGUGAGGCUUAACCUUACAACGCCGAAGGUGUUU